CUCUUUGGGUUGGGGAGACGGGUAAUGUGGGAGUCUGGUGAUAUGACAAGCACAAAACAGAGUGAAAACAGAUUCAAAGGCUCACCGCUCCAGGUCCCUGAACAAAGAGAGCCCUUUUCUUCUUUGGGUUGGGGAGACGGGUAAUGUGGGAGUCCGGCGUUAUGACAAGCACAGAAAAGAGUGAAAACAUAUUCAAAGGCUCACCGCUCCAGGUCCCUCUGUGCAUGGACCGCCCACUAAGGCCACGAUCCGAGCACCAGCACCAGCCAAACAAGCUCCAAGCAAUCCAGCAGCUACACUCAAAGCCACACCAGUGCAGCGUAACCCUCUAUUUCCCUGUGGGACUGGCCAUUGAUCCGUGC
rnacentral:lncRNA from 1 species